rnacentral:tRNA from 1 species
AUCUUUUUGGCAGAUUUUAUGCAAUAAAUUUAGAAUUUAUAGAUAUGAGAUAUUUAAUCAUAAAAGAUA